UACGUAGGGGGCAAGCGUUGUCCGGAAUCAUUGGGCGUAAAGAGCGUGUAGGCGGCCAGAAAAGUCCGCUGUGAAAACUCGAGGCUCAACUUCGAGCUGUCGGUGGAAACUUUCUGGCUAGAGUCCGGAAGAGGAGAAUGGAAUUCCUGGUGUAGCGGUGAAAUGCGCAGAUAUCAGGAAGAACACCGGUGGCGAAGGCGGCUCUCUGGGCCUUACCUGACGCUGAGGAGCGAAAGCGUGGGUAGCGAACAGG
rnacentral:rRNA from 1 species